rnacentral:misc_RNA from 1 species
CUAAACAACACAUUGCAAAAUUCAGUAGGACGAAAGGGUUAGCUUGCAUGUAAUUAUCAUCCAUCAGGCAAUUUGGCCUUCAUUUCAUAAACCAGGCAAAGGAUACUGGGACGUCAAAGCUUCGACUCUUUUUUGCAAGUCCAACACCUUAUCCAUCAAACUAAAAUCUGGGGAUGUAACAACCUUCAUGAAAUCUUGGAGUUUGGUAGUAGAGACGGACUUCUUGGCUUCAAGGGUAAUUUGCACACCCUCGUGAAUAAAAUCUGCAACUGAUACAAAUUCCUUCUCUGUAAAACCUCGAGUGGUCAUGGCUGGUGAGCCUAUGCGGAUGCCACCCGGUACUAGUGCGCUUUUAUCACCAGGC